AAUGUGUUUGAUUUAAUAACCAAAAUCUUUCAAGCCAUGGGAUUGGGGGAAUAAUACCAGAAGCUUCUUUGGGACAUUGGGCACCACUGAUCUAUUUGGGGAAAAUAAGCUCUUAUUAUUAUUAUUAUUUGUAAAAAAGCUUGUCUAUGUGAAUGUCUUCUCUUUCCAUGGGUGGCCUAAAGAAUGCUAUGGGAAUUUCGGGGUGUGCGUGCUGGGCACUGCCAUGGAGCUUGAAUCUUAUUUAAUGCUUGUAACAGCCCUCUGAGGGAGGGAUGUGUUUUACAAAUGAGAUGUAAGAGAAGUUAGGAAAUUUGUCUAAUGUCAAGAGUUGGGAGUGAGGAUCUAAACAGCAGCCUUCUGAUCCUAAAGCACAAGCUGCUUUCACAGCCUCAUGCUCCCUCUCUUGUCAGGUUUCCUGUGGAGGGUGGCAUGUGAUCUCCCUUGAGGCCUUCAGGGAUGGUGGAUUGUCAGCAGGUAAAGGGGUGGGGUUCACAGGAAGGAAGGGCCUGAGCAAAAACUCAGGGGCUGGGAAGAACUUGGCAGAUGAGGACAUGCCAGGAGUCCCAGGGGCGCCGCUACUGGAGAGCACGCAGAGGAGUAGUGGGAGGAAGACAGGAGGGUUUGUGGGGGCUAAAUUGUAUAGAGCCUUGCCUCUCACAAUUUACGCUGCAGGUACUUAUCCAAGGAGGAUAUUUGAGUCUCUAGAGAAACACGAUAUUUCUUUCGGAGCAUCAGUUUUUCUUGAGGUGAAUAAUUUUAAACAUCUUCAUAUUAAAAGAAAUUCAGAUAUGUCAUGGACUAGAAUGCAAAAUUCUCAUGAAUUUUUAAGAGAAAACAGAAGACUUCAAAGAGAGCUUGGGUGUGCUGGCAGGAGCUUCGGGCUAUGCGGUCCCUGGGGGGAACUGAAGGCAUUUCUUUUGUCUGCUGUUGGUGUACUUCAGCAGGAACGUUUGAGAAGCACUGAUUUUAUUAAAAUGUUUUGAUCCCAGCAUUAAAAUAAUUAGGCAUAUUUCAAGAAGGGUGGCAGGGGCUUGGAAGACAGGUUGGACAGGGCAGGGACUGAGAGCAGGAGAUCAGAUCAGACAGUUGCAAUAAAAUCUCAGGAGACAUGAAGGGCUUAGGGGCUGCCUGGCUCUCAGACCCCAGCUCUUCACUUCAGGCCUUUUUGGAGGGGGCCUGACUGAGAGAUGCCCCACCCCAAAGCCACUCCUUUUAAGGGGCUCAUCGAUUAGACUAGGAUGGCUGGCCAGGGAGGCUGUAGCAGAAGCAGUUAAGGGAGACCCUGGGGCUGGGCUAGAAGCUGGCCCCACAGAGAACUUUGGGCCCUGGCCACCUCACCCAUGCUGCCCAGUGAACACCUUCCAGCCCAGCAGGUUUAUUAGCUCAUCUCCCAGAGGGUACCACAAGGCAAGUGGUUGGACCAGUGAUUCUUUAGGGUAGGGGUGAGGGGAGUGCCUGUCUUGUGGCAGUGUUCUGCUGUCUUAUGCUGGUGGGCAGUGCCAUUGGACCCAGCAUGGUGGCCAACAGCUGAUGGUCAAGAAAAACUCAAAGGGAGGUAGGAGGGAAUAAGACAUCUCAGCUUAGGACUACUACUGCGCUCUGCUUCUCCUUAUCAUCAGUAGAUGGAGCCCACCUUACUUAGCCAGAUUCUCCUUUUGGAUGGGUGACAUUUUUAGGUAGUUUAGAAUUUAACUCUUGAAGCAUAAUUUUUAAAACAUUAAAAAAUGUCUUAGUGCUUUGGUUUUCCCCCUCAUUUUAGAAGGGAUUGUUUUUGGUAGAGCAGUGAGAAAAUCCUGACCAUCAAAAAGAAGAAAACCAAAAAAAACACCUAGAAUUCCACUACCCAAAGGUAACCACAGUAAACAAAUACCCUGGUGUGUAUAUUCCCCCAAUUUUUCUAAGCAUUUACUUUUUUUUUUAAAAAAUGGUGUCAUCUUGUAUACUCUGCUUUAUUUAUGCCAUAUAUAUAUAUUUCUUCACUUACUGUGAGUCUCUCACACUAAUGAAUAUUUUUCUAUAAUGUAAUUAUCUGUGAUUGAAAAUAUUCCACAGACUGCAUGUCACCUUUAAUGUCUCUUGUUAUAUAUUUUGGUUGUUUCCAGAUUUUCAUUAUUAAAUACAAUGUGAUGAACUUGUUUGUGGCUAAAUCUUUCACAAGGCAAUAUUACAAAUAAUUUAUAUCUUAUAAAUAACUGUUUCAUUGCAGAAAAGUAGAAGCACUGAUUUUGGGUAAAAUGUUUUGAAGUUAAGACAUGAAAAAAAUUGAGCACCUGUAAUCCUACCAUGAGGAAAUUGCAUCUGUUUACUGUUCAGGACCUAUCCUUACAGAUUUUAUUCUGCACAUAUAUUAAUAUCUACACACAAAUACAUGUACCAAAUAAAGCCUAUAAGUCUGGUAUAGAUAACAUUUUUAUUAAAAUGACAUUUUAUUAUUGCAUUGGCAUUUUAUUAUUGGCAACCUGCUUUUCCUUCUUAAUAUAUACUGGCUAUCCUUGUCAUUAAACAGCGUACAAUAUUAUUUUAUUGUUUUCUAAUAAUACAUGAUAUAAUACACAUUUAUUUAUCCUAUUGUUUAUUUGAGCUUUUCCUGGAGUAUUCGUCUUUUUAUUUUUGCAAGAGGUCUUUAAAUAUUAAGGCUAUUUAAUUCUUUGUCAUAGUGCAGGUAUCUUUUCUGGAUCAUUAUUUUUCCUUGAGGCUUGUUUAAGGUAAGGUUUUUUCCACUUUGUUUUGUAAUUAUAGAAAUAAAACAUGACUGUUGUACACAAUUUAGAAAAUAUAGAUAAAAAGAAAAAUAAUUAAAAUGCAAUGGCCCUAAAUCUUCCCAGUUAGAGAUAACUCCUAUUAAUUUUUAGAGUGUGUCUUUCUAGAUUUUCCUAUCUCCCAAGAUUAUGGAAAUUAUUAUAAAAGAAUAUGACCGUAUAGAUACAUGAUUUUUUAAAAAAGAAAAUUGACCUUAUUCUGUAUGUAUUUCUAUGACCUAAUUUAUGUACUAAAUUUAUUUAGAAAAUCUUUCAUGUCAACACAAGUGAAUCUGCACAAUUAUGUAUUAAUCUCACUUUAUUUACUUAUUUAUUUUUUUGUCUUUUGUCUUUUUUAGGGCAUACCCACAGCAUAUGGAGGUUCCCAGGCUAGGGGUCUAAUCGGAGCUGUAGCUGCCAGCCUAGCCACAGCCACAGCAACGCCAGAUCCAAGCUGCAUCUGCGACCUAUACCAGAGUUCACAGCAACACCAGAUCCUUAACCUACUGAGCGAGGCCAGUGAUCAAACCUGCAACCUAAUCGUUCCUAGUUGGAUUCGUUUCCGCUGCGCCACGCCGGGAA
rnacentral:lncRNA from 1 species